UUAUAUCUUUUUAAGUAUGGUUUGAGUGUUACUGAAUUACAGCUAAAUGGACAAAAGGGAAGGCAGGAAUUGUGAAGAGGUGAGUUCCCAUUUUCUUUCUUUCCCCUGUGAAUGUUUACUGCCCCUCCUAACCCUUUUAUUCUCUGCCCUCUCCCUCUUUCUCUCUCUUCCUAAAAAUAGUAACUCAGGAAAAAAAAAAAAAAAAAGAUACUGCGGGAAGUUCAGUUAGAAGAAAAUCAGGGAUGGCCAGGGAUCUAGGAAAAAUCGAAGAAGGUUAAAGCUGAGAGAGAGAGCCAGGUUGGCAGAUGUGAAGGGGACGAAACGAAGAGUGCAUGAGUAAGGACCUAGAGGAGGCAGCAGCGACCCGGGAGAGGAGAAAGGAGGGGAGGGAUGGAUGGAUGAAAGCGAGCAAGAAAAGGAAGGAAGCAAGGAGGCAGGCAGCGUUAGGCAGACCCAUUCAGGUUUGUUGCUAUAACCCUGUCUAUAUCAUAUUUUGUUAUUCUCAUUUCCUCUCACUUUUCCUUUCUCAUUUUCCUUUUCAGCACCCUUUUACAGUUUCUUUAAACUAUGUUCUCACUGUUUCUUCAUUGUUUGUAUGGCAUAGUUUUACUGCUUUUUCACUGUCUAUGUGUACAGGCUUGUCAUCCAAAUUUUUUGUCUUUACUGUUUGUUCUUGUGGUUUGUUUAACAUUCUGUGUCCUAAGUUCAUCUAGUUAUCAUUUCCUCAUCCCAUGCUCUUUCCUUUCUCUCCAUUCCACACUGCUUUAAAAUUUCAGAGACUUCAAAUCCACUUCUCAAAAUACAUUAUUUUUACAAUUAUUCUCAUCUCAGGCUUAUCUCAUUUUCCCCCUUUUUCUUUUACUCUAACUCUUACAUCUCACUUGCAUACAUCUGUAUUGCUCACGUGAUACAAUUUCCCAUUUGUUAACUAUUUUUUUCUUUGUACUCAGUUUUACAUUUCUUUUAUCAUGAAAAAAAAACCUAAUUUAUUUCACUAAUCUCUGUUUUCACUCUUAUUUCCUUAUUCACCCUUUCCCUUUAACCUCCCUCCCCUUUCUCUUGUGAUCAUGCACAAAUGUCACAGCUAUAACCCCUUGUGUCCUCUCUCAUCAACAAAGAUUUUUUCCGAGCAUUUAAAGCAGCCCCGUCCUCUGUAAAGCUACCAAAAAGUGCAACUGCAGUUAGAAAACACCAAGAUUAGUAAUAUACGACUCAACCAUCUCUUAGUGCAGAGUGUGCUGGUCCCAUCCAGCACUGAAUGGGUUAAAAGUCUAAUGUGCUUUUUAUUUUUUUAUUUUUUUCAACAAGAUAACUAUUGCUCUUUUAUGGGGUGUGUGGUCACUUCAUGAUGAAAAUAAAGCCAAGCAUAUAUUUGUUUUGUAAAUCAAUCACAGCAAACAAGUUAAAGAAAAAAAAUAACUAUAGCAAGGACAUGCUAAAACCUGUAAUUACCUUGCAUAUCCCUUUUAAUGGACGUCGCAUCACUAAUAACUGUCCAAAUUCCCUCCCACCCCCCAGCCCAAGGGAUAGAGAAUCCAUGUUUUUUUUUUUUUGCUAGUGUUCACUGAGUCUAUAGACCAGCUCAGUUUGAACUGAGGUAUUACAAGAUUUCAGUGUUAGAGACCCAUUGUCUGAAAAGCAGACACUUUCAGACCCCCAGCUCCUUCUAUUCUCCUUCUUUUUUUUUUAGCCUCUUUUUUUCCCGGGGGCUAUUUGACAAAGAAGUGUGUUAACUAACCUUUUAAAAAAAAAAAAAUCUCAACAGAUCCUUUUCAAUAUCAUAUUUUAAUUCUAUCAAAAUCUGUUGUAUAUUUGCGGAGAUAAUGUGGCUUUUUUGUGUGAAAACCACAUAAUUAAUUCUAAUUGCUAGCAACAUACGCACCUCAUUAACACCCACUGACAUGUACAUAUGUAAAUGUGUUGCUUGUAAAUACACUUGCCCCCACCACUCUCAAUUGGUGUUCUUUUUAAGUCACAGCAGAUGCAAAUUAAACAAACAAUUAAAACAAAGUUAUUCCAGGGAUAAUCAGUCAUUAUGAUCUUUACUGACUUUUGAUUGGAAACAAAAUGGUUUGAAGAGCUUAACACUUGACAAAGAAUGAUUUAGAGAGCAAAGGACUUUAGAGAUUCAAUAUAUUUACCUUAUUUUCACUUUUUUGAAAUGCUUAUACGAUGGCUGGUUAUCUAAGGAGGAUGCUUUAUAUAUUUAUGCGAUCCUGCUUUUUCUUAGCCAUUGAACCCUUGGGCAAUAAGAGAUACAAUUCUAGAGGUGACAAGCAGGAAAUAUGUGUGUAAAAAAAAGAAAGACCGUAUCAGAAAGAGGGGCAGGUUUUCAUAUCCAAAUAAAUAAAAAUUUGUUUGAGAUCGAAGUCAUAGGUGAAACACCCAAAAAGGGAAAAAAGAGCAAAGGUUGCAGUAAAGAAAUCAAAGAAGGCGGAAUUAUGAACAAAGAGAGUGGGGAUGCGAAUAAAAGGGAAAAAAGAUGACAUAGAGAGGAAAAGAAAAGGUAAAAAGAGCCAGGGCGCAGACAAGGUUAUGGGUUCAGAAGCCCUCUGGGCUUUGAGAGGUCAGAGCUCUCUGACAGUCUCUCUGCCUCCCCCUUCCCAGCCAACAACCCAGUGUUUAUAAACAAAUCACAUCGGCAGCAGGACCAUAAGAAAGGCAUCCCACUAACUGCAGAUCUCCCUUACAGCACUCCCUCUAAAACGGGAAAACACCCUGACCUUACUCCAAAAAUUACACUCUUGCUAAAUAUAUCCUAAAAAAAAAUAAAAAAUAUGGGAAAAAUAAUUACUGAGCAUGUUCUACAUUAAGAUUCAUCUCAGAUUAGAUGAAACAUUAGGGUAUAAAUAAAAAUAAGAAUGAUGCCUACGAUUAAACCAGAAUUAAAUUGUCCAGAAAAAGUAAAUAAAAUACUAUUUGGAAAUCACUUAAAUACAAUACAGCUUUGUCCAUGCAUUUAAUUAGACUUAAACAAACCAUUUUGAUUAAAAUGCCACAGUAAAAAGAAUGAAUACAACAAACUGUAUAAUGUACAUUUACCUUGAUAACCAGCAAUAAUUAAAAUUUAUUUUUAAAAAUCUCGUUUGAUCUUUUUUUAAAUUAAAGCCAACAUUAUAUUGCAAUUCACAAAAAGAGAAAAAAACGUUUAAAACUAAACCAGCAGACAAAAUGAAAGAAGUCUUAAAAGCAAACUUACAACUAUCAUAAUUAAAACCAUCUUUAAUUGCAGGAAAGAAGCAAUCACAAACUAAACGAAUCAAUACUUGGUUAGUAUCAGCUAACCUAGAAAACGUAGAAACGCAAAAUAAAGAAAAAUAAAAUAAUAGUUAAUCUAAAAUCUGUAUCAAAGCAAUAAUUAGCAAGACAAUAUAUAUCUAUAUAUAUCUUUGUAUGUAUAUAUAUAUAAAUGUAUAUAUAUAUAUAGACACACAUAUACAUUUGUGAUAUAGACACAUAUACAAAAAGAUGAAAGGAAAAUAUACCUCAAGUGUAAAAAGUCUGUCUUCUUUUCUUCUUUGUCUAUCAGCCUCCAGUUAAAGCAUAUGGAAAAAUGUUUUCAAAAUGCCUAGAUUUGGCACAUUGUCAUUGCAAAGAGAGGAGCGUAGUGAUGCUGUUACAGAAAAAUGGGAUAUAAAUUCAGGAUUGGGUGCUGCCUCCUUCAAUGCGGAUUUAUCUAAGUUUAAUUUAAUAUUCUGCAAUCACUGUAUGAUCACAUAUAAUUCACCUGGAUUUUUUUUAAGGGCUUUCUUUAAAUACAUUGACCAAAACACUGAAGCAUUCAAAUAGAUUGGCGGGUUAUUUGAUUUUUUUAUUUAUUUAUUUUUUCAAUUUUUUUUCUCUACUUUGAACCAUUAUUAGCAUUUGAAAAUAUACACAUACAAAAAAAAAUGGUGUUAGCAUGCAAGGGGCGUGCAAUGAUACAGAAAUUCUUAGCAUCUUAUAAAAGCACACCUGGCUCAGCAUUCCAAAAGGCACAAAAUGCUUGUUUGUAAAACACUAAACCUUUAAUCGAAUUAUUGGCAUUUCAAUUGAUUAGAUAAACUAAAAUCUAUAACAGACUAAAAGGCAUUUAAAAUAUUUAUCUACCUGAUUUUUAAACAUUUUUGUAAAAAAAAAAAAAGAUUAAUAAAAGGAACACAGGAAAUUCUUCAGAUAUCAAAUUACAAUAAUUCAAUUAUUUCCACCUGGAUUGGGAUGGUUAUAUAAUAAUAACAAUGAUAAUAGUAAUUAUAGUAAUGAAUUAUGCAGAAACCUUUUAACAUACACUAGAGGACACAGUUCAAAAAUCAACAUUUGAAGAUAUUUUGACAUUUUGUACAUUUUUUUUUUUGCUUCAUUUUUGGAGAGAUAUAUUUUUGUGAAAUGGUAUUAUAGAGAAAAAAAAUAAACCAAACUCAAAUGCAUUAUAUGGUACUUUUAAGGAACAAUAAAAUAUACAUAUAUAAUUUAAUGAUAGCACCACAACUACAAUAAAAUUACUACACAUUUAUUUAAAGAUCACAUUUACAAAGAGUGUGAUUUUGUUUAAUCCCAAUUCUUUAUUUUCUUGGCAAAUGGUUGAUUUAUUCAACUUCCUGAUUCUGUGACAAUCAGAAAAUAAUGCUGGUAAUUAACAGUUUUACAGAACACACGUUUAUUUAAAGGGAGAGGGAGCUGCAAAGUGGAGAAAUGCAGGCUGCAUGCUUGUGGCAUUCUGACUGUGAGGAGAGGAAGUGUUGUUGUAACGGGUAUUAUGUUUAUUUGAUAAAGAAAAUCAAUGAAAGUGGCUGUAAAGUAGUUAGUGAGGCGUGUGUUUGGGACUCGGGUUGAAUAGUGACUCCGGCGGACUGGUCGAUCAGCUCUAAGAGCUUUGGAAAUCUAACCUAACCCUCAGACCACGCUGCUCCCUACUCUACUGAAACACAUGCUCCAUCCUGUCUCAUCCUCAUCUGCUUCCUCUCUUAACCCUUUCAGUGCAAAUCCUGCCACUCAUGAUAUCUUUUACAAUUCCAUUCUCAAUUAACUGGCUCUUUUAUUUAACAAUGUACAUUGUGUGUCUAACUGUAUACCUACAUAUCUAUUUAUAUAUUAAUACAAAUUACACUGAGAUACUGAGUGGAAUCAUAUAUAAUUAUAUAAAUGUUUAUAUAUAUAUAUAUAUGUGAGAUUUUAUAUAUAUAUAUAUAUAUAUAUAUAUGUGUGAGAUUUUAUAUAUAUAUAUAUAUAUAUACAUACUUACACAAAUACAUAUAUAUGUGUGCAUACAAAUGUUUGUUUAUGUAUGUUUGUGUGGAGUUUGUUUGUGUGUGUCUAUACCUGUAUAUGUAUAUAUAUAUAUAUAUAUAUGUGUGUGUGUGUGUGUGAGUGUGUGCAUUUUCUGUCAUUUUAUACCUCUAUACCCAAGAGUCCUUGAUUCCCACUGUCAUUAUUUUCUAUUUUUUUUCUCUUUGCACUUAAAAAAAUGUAUAUGGACAUCUAAAGAUUUCAAAAUACUAAACACAUAUACAAAUAUUUCACAAAUGUUGUCUGGAUAACCUAUAUUGCUUUUACCUUAUUCUCUAUGCACCCUUUAGACCUUGUAACCCACUUUGUGUGUAUCUCUCGGUUUUGCUGGUCCUUGUAAAGAUGUUUAAUAACUAAUUUAUCACACCUUACUAAAUGGAUGUAAGAUCACAAAUAGGCAGAUCAAUGCUUACCUCUGUAUCAGACACUCAGUAAGCUAGCAUCUGUGGUCAAAAUUAUAGGCUUCAGUCUUUCAGUGCAGAUAUUUUCAAAUCCCUGAAAGGUAACCAUCUAUAUAAUUUUUUAUUUUUUUUUAAAAAGACGGCCUUGUUUGUUGAUAUUUAUUUAUGUGGCUGGUACUAAUGUAUGUCCUUUGAAACAUUUCUCCGCCAUAUUCAUGAUUUGUCAUUACGUAUUGUUUUCUUUGCUUGACCUGCAGAAAUAUAUAUCCCUAAUAAAUUUCUAUUUAGGGUGGCGUAAGUGCAGACUAACAAUAUUUUGUUUUACUUUUUAAGGUUUGUUUUUUUUUAAAGUCCAGUUUUUCAGCUCUGUGAAAUAUGUUUCACUAAGUUGGCCAUUACUUCUCAAAUCUGUUUCGUGAAAUGCAAUAUUAACCUGUUCAUUGCCUACUUUGAAGGCCUCAGUAGUGCUGAACGUGUUCACAAGUUUAAUUUGCUAAUAAUUUUUUUUUUUUUGCAUAGCUUAAUUUUUCAGUUAUCAUUUUAACCCCUUAAAGACCAAUGAUGUACCAGUGCGUCAUGAUAUAAAGGGAUACCCCAAACACUUAAAGGGUUAAUACUAUUACUUGGCACGUUUAACACCACUGUGUACUCUCUGAAUACACAAACAUAGAAACAGAGGAACUAUAUAACAUAAUUUUGUUUUAGGGACCGCUGUCUGCAGUACUUGUCUCUGCUUUAUUCUCGAUAUAUUUUAUUCUGUCCUGUUUUUAAUCUGUCUUUAUCCCUCUCUCUACACAGCAUUCAGAUUUCAAUAGUCAUUUUUUUUUAUCUCUCCUCAUUUAACCUUGUAAUUCUUUGUCUAUAUAUAGCAUUGAACUCUUUUUAAAAUAGAUGUCUGUUGCCAUGCAAAUGUGAGAAAGUCCAUUUCAAAUGAGCAGAGGAACAGAUUAUUAAAAAACAGGCAAAUGUAUAACCACAAGCCCCACACCUCACUGUAAGCCAUUUGUCAAAGUGACAUGGCUGCCUCUUGCAAUGAAGGGGCAACCUCUGAAGGUGUUAAGGCUAGUAUUUAUCAGCCAAUAAAAAUAUCUCAAUUAAGGAAUAUUUUACACUGCUAAGUCGAUAUUGUAAUUAAAUUAUAUAUUUAAAUGUCAGCCAAACUCCAGCAGAAUUUUAACAAGGUACUUUAACGUGAACAGACCUAUAAAGCAUUUCUAUAUUAGUCUUAAACUUGUAAAUAUCUAUUCCCUAACUAGCGAGAUGACAAAAAAAUAGGCCCAGGUUGCGGAGUUAGCAAAAAAAAACCUCAUAAUUGUUAGCUAACCAAGUCUAACCCUGUAGUGAUUAGACCUGUACACAGGGGGACAGCAAGAAAGUGGAGACAUUAUUUACUAUAUAUAUAUAUAUAUAUAUAUAUAUAUAUAUAUAUAUUUAUAUAUACACACAUACGCACACACCUUUAAGUUUAGUUGUGUGUCAGGCAGGUACCCCACUAAAUGUGUUGCUAAGCUUUUUUGUGGGAUUAGGAGUUAGAAUAAGAGUUAAGUCAUAUAUGUAUUUUAAAUCAUCAGAAGACUGUAAAAUUGAGGAACAAUAUCAAAUGCUCGACUGCUCUCACUUCAUUGCAAAUCCAAUAUACGUUACUGAGUGGUUAUGGGGCUUUAAAUAAAGCAAUUUCCAUUGUGUUUGCACUGUUUGUAUCAGACAAGCACAUUUGUUUUUGAUUUAAUCCUUUCAAUGCCAGAGGGCUGCUGCUACACAUUGUAGGUUUACCUGGGGAAGAAAGGGUUACCUAGGCUUUUUGUGAAAUGUAGAUAUUACAGCAAAAGACACACAAUAUCACCUAGAGGUAUGAUCAGGCUCAUGCAGUGUUUUGAAGUAACUCUCAUCAGGCACAGGCAAGCCAUAUUGGUUAAAAAUAGAAUCAGCAGUUGUCAUGAAUGCUGUUGUGUAAUUGAUUCUUUUAUAUUGCAUGCAGUUGUGUAACUUACAUAUGGGACAUCAAUUUAUCUUAUAAAGACACUGUCAUGAAAAACGUGUCAAACUUGCUUAAUGACCUCAUUUCAUAUAUACCAUGUGUUACCAAUAUGGUCAUAAAAUUCAUAUGUAUAGAAUUAGUUUCCAAUUAAAUCUUCUUCCCAGUGCCAAGGUGCUAAAUCACAGCAUAUAUCCCAUAUCUGAAUUCCAAAUAAAUCCACUGGAAUAAAAUUGCUCAUGGUGAGCCCACAAGUGGUUUGUAACGUUCUAUAUAACCUAGUAAUAUUGUCAUCAUGAAAAAAGCUGAAAAAACCUCAUUUGCAUAUAUCCUUUAAAUUAUAAAUGUUUUGGUAGUUUAACAAGCACAACAGAUAUAUUAAAUGUUUAUAGCUACAUGACACUGAUAUUGCCAUUCACAUUUUAUGAGAUACUGUCCCUUUCAUACAGAUAAAUACAUACAUGCAUACAUUACUGGACUGAUAUAUUAACUUAUCCCCAAGUCCAAAGCUAGAAAAACAGUUAGCUGCUUCGCAAUUUACCCAAAUAAAUAAUUAGAAAUUUAAAUUUGACGGAUACAUAUAUUUAAUGUAAAUGGUCAAAUUGUGUCUUUUUUUUUUUUGAGAGAGACAGAUUGGUGUAUUUUACAACUAAUUAAUAGUUACGGGGAAACAUUCUGUUAAAUUAUAUUUAUUUGUAUAUGCUAGUGAAUGAAUUGAACAGUAAUUUGUGAAACAUUACUACGCUUGAUCCAGUUUGUGAGUGAUGAUUAUAUGUUUAUUGACGCUGUCAAGAUAUUAGCACUGACCCAUUAGCAAUCAGUGACUACAUGGGGAUAGGAAAUUAGUAUUUUCUAAAUAAUAGAAUUUGCGUUUUUAUUUAUACUUAACCCAUUCUUUGUUUCAAGAACCACAUGAGUUACGUUUAUGUACUCUACUUUCAGCCCAAGCCCUAGGGCCUGCUAUUAACACUAUUCUUUAAGCGUCUUACCACUGUUGUAAGCAAAUGUGACAUUUCUACAGCUUAUAACAAAAACAAAUUGGCAUGAUUAUAGGUAGUAUACGAAUCAGCACCUAGGGCUUGUUACCAGAAAAAAAUAAUGCAAUCAAGUAAUGUUCUGAGGACCAAGCAAACACUUCUAUAGAGUGUGGUUCUAACUUGUUUUAAAGCAAAACCUAUUAAUUAUGUUUUUCUUAACCCCUUCACUUCCUAAUUCACUCAUUUGUGGAAAACAUAUAACACUUAUUUGAAACAUGAAUGCAUAGCCAGCAGUGUAAAUGUUCAAAAAAACUGCUAUUUCAGUAAAUGUUAAUGGAUGCCCAAUAAAGUUACAUUAUGUUAUGUUAAAUAUUUUAUUUAAAUUAUUCAUUCUUCAUAUCAUCUUGAAGAGAUAAAGAUUGUUUUUAGAUUAUAUGGCAUACCUCACCUAAAUAUUAGCAUAGAAGCAGAAAUAUAAUUUUUGAUGCAUAUAGUUGGAUUUAAAAUGGAUAAAUAGAAAUGUUUAAAUACCCUGCUUUAAACUUCUGAUUUUGAGUGUUUCUAUAGAAUUUGAUGGCUUUUCUGGGAAUAGACCUUUCUAAAAAUGCUACCAGAAUAUAAAAAUAAUUUCUUAUAUUAUAAGGCACCGUAGAAUAAGUUGGUACCUGCAAAAUAAGUUGAUAUCUGCAACAUACAGAAUCAUCAGGCUGCUAUUGCAUCCUGUAAGUAAUACCUAUAGUGUACUCAGUGUAGUUAAACCUCUCACUCAUCCCCCCCUCGGGUUGCUAGAAUGCAGCCUUGAAUUUCAGACAGCAAUGUUUUAUGUAUAAUAUGAGGUAGUAGAGGAGGCAUCAUUAACAGUCCCUCUGCCUAUACGUAGAGGAACAGAAUGGAUCCCUGUGGAUCCCUGGCAGAGAAAUGUGUCCCUCUGCGAGUUGAAAAAUCAGUCCCAGAGAAAAAAGGAAUGUCAGUUGAGCUUUUUAACAUCCAUUUCAUAUUGCAACGCAUAGCAAAAUAUACACAUUGUUAAAUAGUAAUAGAUUAAAUACUCUAAAUGCAAAUAGACAUACUGCAUCAUAUAAUUUAUAGUAAUAUAAUUGUGUAUCAAACUUCUCUGUCAUAACAUGAAAAAACUAAAAUAGAGCUGUAGGCAUUUUUUCAGUGUUCUCUACUCUGUUUUUUUUUAUUAAUUGUCGUGAGUUUGUCAAAAUCUGUUUUAGCACUGUAUGCUUAUUAAUUGUUAUUGCUGUGCUAUCUACAUAUCUAUUUAUUGUCAGUGAUUACGGUGGUAUUUGACUGUACGAUAUCAACUGCUACUAAAUGUUAAAAUUGUUAUAUUGUAUAGGGGUGCACAGCAUUGUGGAAUGUAAUCGAUCAAAUAACACUACUAAGAAAUUUCCCAACAGUAAUUCUUUUAAGAGGGUUAAAACUGUUAAAUGUAAGGCAUCACCCUAGUAAAAGAUGAUAAAGGUGAUAUAUGGCAAACUUCUUAGCAGAAAUAAAAUAUAUAUAUAUAUAUAUAUAUAUAUAUAUAUAUAUAUAUAUAUAUAUACACUAUUUGACAUGAUUGAUGGGUGUUUAUCACUGAACAAAUAAAACAACAAUUUAAUUUACCAAGUCCUCUUGAGUCCAGGAGAUUGAACGGGAGAUCAGGAGGUCCAGGUUACAUUUAUAUAUAUGUAUUAAUAUUUUUUCUAUAGCACCCAAAAACAAUAUUGUAGUUUUUAAUAUCAAUUGUUUUGGAAGGCCUACUGAUUGCUACUUUGAAACUAUGUCCCUUCAAAACAAGGGGCUAUCACAUUAAAUAUCCUUAUGUUCUGUUUCAGAUUUGAGAAAAUGUACUUGUCAUUGGAACACUCGGUGGGAUGCGGAUUAGAACAUUUAAAGCAGGGGGGGGAGGGUGCCACACUCUACUGGGCUGUUCUUUUUGUUUUUUUUUAAACCAUGUCAUGUCAAAACGUUGGUAUGUUAAAUUUACCUACUAGAAAGGAUGAAGUUCUGAUGAAUAUUUAAUGUGUCAUUAAAUGAGUCAGUUUACCUGGUAAGCACAUGGUUUUGAUAUAUAUAUAUAUAUAUUUUUUUUUUUUCUUGGUAACAUGCUCACUUUUCUACAAGCAUCUUAACUAUAAAAUUCUGUUUCAGUGAGGUUAACACUAUAUAUGGAGCUUUGAAUAAUGUUAAAGUCAAACAGCACAUCUGUCCAAUAUCAUUUCCAAGCAACAUCUGUUCAUCCAGCUACGGUCCAGUCAUCCUUUAUUUUGCUGCCAUCCUUCAGAUAACACCACACACUUGUAACUGUUGGUCCGCAAUACCACUUUAGUGGCUGAUCAAUACAAUAAAAAGAGCGUGUCUCACCUAUCACAUCAAUGUGUAGCAUUUCAAGAGGCACUAUGACGGAACAAUGUGAUCUCAUGCAUCACAGUGCAUGAAGGCAUUCCUCUGCAUUUGCUGUGACUGCAUUAAAUGGUGUAUUCAAUAAGCCCCAUAAAAAACAGAUUGUGCAGUGAUCUACCAGAAACUCACAUUGAUUUGAAUAGGAUAUUGGCCAGAAAGAACAAUGGAGUAUGUCAUAUCAGCACUUGUAUCCAAGUUCUGUAAAAAGACAUCUUCUCCAUUUGACAUCUUACUGAAAUUUAAAUAUGUUCUACGUACUCUUCAAAACUAAAGCCUCAGAUAAUAUGCUUGACGAGGAGAUUAAAUGAAUUACAAGUGAACUUUCAUUGACAGUAAGUUUUGCUUUUUACGAAUUGUGCUUUGUGUUCUUAGCAGUCAGAAACUAAACCUUGUUUUUCUUUUUAUUAUUAUUCACUAUUAAGAUAAAACAUUAAUACAAUGACUAAUCUGCCUUAUAACUUCACUAGUCAUUGCAUUAUUUUUAUCUUUACUCACUUGCUUUAAUACAUAUGUGGCAUUGUCUAAAUCACUGGUUUUUAGGUCAAUAUUUAGACCUGCAACAGUCCAGAAAUUGUUACAACAGAACAGGCAAUUCAUAGGCUUUGGGAUUUUAGUUAUGCUUUGAGGACUGGUUGAUAUGACUUGAACAUUAAUAUUAUUCGUGGUUGUAGUCAUGAUAUGAGAAUAUUGAGGAUGAGAACAAUUUGAGCUGUAUGAAAUUGGGAAAAAAAAACCCAAUAUGAGAUAUGGUCAAAAGAGGGUCUUCUAUUUAUUAAUUAAAUGACAAAGAAAAGAGACAGCCAAGGUCUUUGUCUAAGGUUCCAAGGACAAACCAAGUGUGAAAGGUUGGGCCAUAUAUACAGAGAGCACUGCACAAGAUUAAACAUUAUACAGCAGAUUGUGGUGUGUGCAGUCAAGAACAGAAAUUCUAGUUUAGUUAUCGAGUUGUGUCCAAGAAGUAUACACACACAAAUGUGAAAAUGUGACAAUUAUCAGUGCUCCUGUCAUAUACCAAAAUUCAGUAAAUAUACAUAAAAUAUGAAUGUACUAAAGAGAAAAGAACAAAGAAAGUUUAUUAAGGCAUAAAAUAAGAAAGAAAAUACUAAACAUAGAUUUGGCAAUAUAUAAAGUUUCAAAACAUUAUUAUUUACAAAUGAUUUGAAUAAUAAUGAUUUUGUAAUCCAGUAGAAUAUAUAAUGGCUCGUAUGGAUAUCUAAUAUAUUUCAAUUCAAAUUAAAACUUUUGAAAAAUUACUGCCAUUAGGGAAUAUGGUCCAUAGAUAUAAAGUACAGUGUAAACAUGUGUGCAGUCAUUUUGUUUGUUUCUCCAUAAGAGAAUGCUGUAAUAAAAAAUAAAAAAAUACAAUUAGUGCCACCAAAUAUUGUCUCUUAAAAUCAGUUACUGUCUGCCACAACUACCUUUGUCAUAUGAUUGGAAAUGCAAGCGAUUCUAUAUUAAAUCGCAUAGCGCUUGCUACAAUAGUGAUGGUAGAAAUGGUAAUUAUAUAUUCACCUAUUUACAUUUUUUCAGAGUUAUCUUUGUUUAACCCCUUAAGACCGGAGGGCGUACUAUUACGCCCUAUUUUAGGCGGCUCUAAACGCCACCGGGCGUAAUAGUAUGUGCUCCGGUCUUUCAUUACUUACCCGGUCGCCGGUGAUCGCAGUUGUGGGGACUCCCAGGGAGCCCCCCGCGGCACGUCCAACCCACUGUAAGCCCCCCGGCCAUGUGAGAGUGAGGUCCUUGCGUGGACCUCACAAUCACAUGGCCGGGAUAGCUGGCUGCAGCAUUGCCAGCAGGGGGGCUGCCUGUAAUGACAAGUAGUUCCCCUGCUGGCUAGAAAUAAAAUUAAAUAAAAGUUAAAAGUGUAAAAAAAUAAUAAUAUAUACUUAGAUCUAAGUAUAUAUAUAUACACAUAUACAUACACACACACAUGUACACUGUAUAGGUGUAUUUUACUAUUAAUAUAUAUAUAUUAAUAUCAAAUUACACAUAGACUGAUACUGAUUCUGAUUAAAUAUAUAUAUAAGUAUUGUUAUAUAUAUAUUUAUAUAUAAUUUAAAAAAAUUGAAUAUGUAAAUACGUUAAAAAAUAAAAUAAAACAAAUAAUAAAAAAUAAAUAAUUAAAAAAUAUAUAGAUGUGUGUUAUUUCAUUCUAACUGUUUUGUGAUAUUAAUAUAUAUAUAUUUAUAUCAAAAUACACGUAGAACGAAAUAAUAUAUAUAUCUAUAUACAUAAAUAUAUACGUAUAUAUCACUAUAUAUAUACCAAUAUAUAAAUAAAAAUAUUUAAAAAAAAAUAUUUAUAUAUAUACAUAUAUAUUCACAUACGUAUAUAUAUACAUAUAUUAAUUCUACAUAUAUAUUUAUGUAAUAAUUUUACAUAAUUGGGUAUCUUAAUUAAUUACAAUUAGCGGGACCUGCCUGACAACCCAUGCUGAAAGUAAAGGGAAUUUAAUUUGCUAGCACUAUAUUUAACCCUAUAACUUUCCAAGACACCAUAAAACCUGCACAUGGGAGGGUACUGUUCUACUCGGGGGACUUCACUGAACACAAAUAUUAGUGUUUCAAAACAGUAAAAUGUAUUACAACGAUGAUAUCGCCAGUAAAAGUGAAGUUUUUUGCAUUUUUCACGCACAAACAGCACUUACACGGACGAUAUUAUUCCUGCGAUACUUUUUACUGUUUUGAAACACAAAUAUUUGUGUUCAGCGAAGUCUCCCGAGCACAAUAGUACCCCUUAUGUACAGGUUUUAUGGUGUUUUCAAAAGUUACAGCGUCAAAUAUAAGGCUUGUGUUUCAUUUUUUUCACAUUAAAAUUCGCCAGAUUGGGUACGUUGCCUUUGAGACCCUAUGGUAGCCCUAGAAUGAAAAUUACCCCUAUGAUGGCAAACCAUUUGCAAUAGUAGACAACCCAAGGUAUUGCAAACAGGGUAUGUCCAGUCUUUUUUAGUAGCCACUUAGUCACAAACACUGGCCAAAAUUGGCGUUUUUGCAUUUUUCACACACAAACAAAUACUAACGCUAACUUUGGCCAGUGUUUGUGACCAAAUGGCUACUAAAAAAGACUGGACAUACCCUAUUUGCAAUACCUUGGGUUGUCUACUAUUGCAAAUGGUAUGCCAUUAUGGGUGUAAAUUUCAUUCCUGGGCUACUAUAAAGUCCCAAAGGCAAGUAACCAAUCUGGCGAAUUUCAAUUUCAAAUGUAACGUGCUAUAUUUGACCCUGUAACUUCCCAAAACGCUAUAAAACCUGUACAUAGGGGGUACUGUUUUACACGUGAGACUUUGCUGAAUACAAAUAUGUGUAUUUUAUUGCAGUAAAAGCAAACAGUAGUAUGACAUUGACAGUUAAAAUGUCACAUAGAACUAAAAAAAUAAAAAAUAAAUAAUUUUCUCCCAUUUUUUUCAUAUUAAAUUAUGUUUCAUAGUUAAAUAUUUGAUAUUAAAUAAAAUCCCUGUUUCCCCUGAAUAAAAUGAUAUGUAAUAAGGGUGGGUGCAUUUAAUAUGAAAGAGGUGAAUUACGGUUGGACAGACAUGUAGCGCAAAUGCCAGGUUUUGUUUACAUUUUGUUUCGUUCACAACGUGUACAUUUGGCUCCGUCCUUAAGGGGUUAAAACGUGCUUCUUUAUAUUAUUCAAAACUUUUUUCUUCUUUUUAACUUUUUGUCUUUACUUUGCUUACAUUCUCAGGGCUAACUGAUUUUCUGCAUCAGGAAUUGUCUUGAGAUUUGCAGGUUUUCGAGCAAAAGAGCAAAACUGGAAGAAUAGCUUAAAUGGAGAAUUUUUGCCUAAAAUCUGCAUGUCUCUGAUUAAUUCUGGAUACUUUCUAAAUAAUUAUGCAUAUGUUUUAGUGUAUGAAUGAUCCACAGAUUGAUUUUUUAUUCCAGAUAAUCAUUUCUAGACUCAAUAUUGCACUCCAGCUACCAUUUCUAGACUUGAUAUUACACUCCCGUUACCAUUUCUAGAAGUAUUCGGUAUUUCUCUCCAGGUUAUUGUUUCCUUACACCAUGUUUACAGUUUGAUUCAUUGAGUCUGGUAUGCUUCAUAGUUGCCUUUUUAACAAUAUUCAAAUAAAAUAAAUUAUGUCCAGGCACUCAGGAUUGCUGCAGAAAGGCAGGUUUAUUAGAACAAAAAGCACAACAUUUUAACCUACACAGAUGCCCUUAUCACGCUUUUUAAAGGCCUCUGUGUAGGCCGAAAUGUUGUGCCUUUCUGCAGCAAUCCUGAGUGCUUGGACAUAAUUUAUUUCAUCUACUAAACUGGAUUCCUAAGUGUGAGUGCAGUAUCCUCCGUUUGUGAAUUACUUUGUAACAGUAUUCAUCAUGUUUGGUUCUGAAAGCACCGAUGUAAUAAAAUCCAAAGAAUAUAGCAAAAUUAAACACUUUUGGGGGUCAUGGGUCAUGGUCAUGGGUAUCCUCUUAUCUGAAGAAAACAUUUCUCUGUUUCCUAAAGAUUUUUGGCAUAGCUUGGGUAAAAAAUUCUGAAAUAAUCUAGGUAGUAAAUGUAUCUAAAUUUAUAAUCUAGGCACUUAUUUAACUAAGCAAAUAGGGCCUCCUAUUGGAUAGUUACUGCGUGGGCGAUUAUCUUUCAGCUGACAACAAGUUAUUUAACCCUAACUGAUGCAAUGAGUAGCCUCUCAUUUCUUAAACAACCAUGUCGAAAGACACAUUGUCGGGAUCCCGCGGGCGGCUGCGAGGGGAGGCUGCACUCCGCUCGCGGUACUCACCCUCCAGCCAUCCGCGGUCCCCUCAUCCUCCUGGGUCUGGCGAGCGGCAUCCUUCCAGCCUCGGAUGCCGCCCGCCGUUUCCUCCACGUCCCCCAGCGGCAGCAUACAUGACACUGCACGCUGGGAGACCGCCCAAGUUUGUACACGCCGGGGUCAGUCACCUGACCUGGCGUUAAAGGCACAGUGCCUCAAUCACAGUGGGAGGUCUAGAUAUAUCCCACGUGUGAUUGUUAAUUCUGAUUGGAAGUUAUCCAAUCAGAAUUAACCUUAUGAUUUAAAUACUUACCUUUCCUGUUCCUCCCUGCCCUGUUGUGGUCUUUGCUUUCUAGUAUUGCUACUUACCUUGUACCUCUGGUUACGUACUCUCUGGCUUGUUUAUCUGACUCUGUGACUUUCUCCUACCCUUUGACCUCGGCUCGUUUCACGUUAUUCUGUCUUCUGGUUCCCCUUACUCGGCUUGUUUCCUGACUAUUCUGUGUGUGCUUAGCCCGGCCACUCUAAGGUCCGGUUCGGCACCUUUUGUGUGUGUGUGUGUGUGCCAGCGUGUUGGGUUCCCCGAAUCGUGACACACAUCCCAUGGUCGUGGAAAAGAUGUUAGUCUGUUUGAGAAGGGUCAAAUCAUUGGCAUGCAUCAAGCAGAAAAAACAUCUAAGGAGAUUGAAGAUACUACUAAAAUUGGGUUAAGAACUGUCUAACACAUUAUUAAAAACUGGAAGGAUAGUGGGAAACCAAAGUCUUCGAGGAAGAAGUGUUGUCGGUAAAAAAUCCUGAUUGAUCGUGAACGGCGAUCACUUAAACGUUUGGUGAAAUCAAAUCGGCGAAAAACAACAGUAGAACGCAUGACUAUGUUUAAUAGUGAAGGUAAGAGCAUUUCCACAUGCACAAUGCGAAGGGAACUCAAGGGAUUGGGACUAAACAGCUGUGUAGCCUUAAGGAAACCACUAAUCAGUCAGGCUAGUCGGAAAAAAAGGCUUCAAUAUGCUAGGGUGCUUAAAGAUUGGACUCUGGAGCAAUGGAAGAAGGUCAUGUGGUCUGAUGAGUCCAGAUUUACCCUGUUUCAGAGUAAUGGGUGCAUCAGGGUAAGGGUAAGACGAGAGGCAGGUGAAGUGACACACCCAUCAUGCCUGGUGCCUACUGUACAAGCCUAUGGGGGCAGUGCUAUGAUCUGAGGUUGCUGCAGUUGGUUAGGUCUAGGUUCAGCAACAUUAUGAGCCCAAAGAAUGAGGUCAGCUGACUACUUGAAUAUACUGAAUGACCAGGUUAUUCCAUCAAUGGAUUUUAUCUUCCAUGAUGGCACGGGCACAUUCCAAGAUGACAAUGCUAGGAUUCAUCUGGCUCAAAUUGUGAAAGAGUGGUUCAGGGAGCAUCAGACAUCAUUUUCACAUAUGGAUUGGCCACCACAGAGUCCAGGCCUUAAUCCCAUUGAGAAUCUGUGCUGGAGAAGGCUUUGCGCAGUGGUUAAACUCUCCCAUCAUCGAUACAAGAUGAAAAAUUAUGAAAAAUGAAUGCAACACUGGACGGAAAUAAAUCUUGUGACAUUGCAGAAGCUUAUUGAAACAUUGCCACAGCGAAUGUGUGCUGUGAUCAAAGCUAAAGGCAGUCCAACUAAAUAUUAGAGUAUGUGACCUUUUUUUUAGGUGGCGACUUUUUUUUGGCCAGGCAGUGUAUAUUUUUGAGAUAAAAAAUAGGAUUCUCUAAAACAAAGAAAGAACCACUUAACAGUACUAUAAAGAGAUCACAUGUGUAGUUUGAAUAUAUUAUGCUAACACAUCAUGUGUACGUUCCUUGCCCAAACAAUGAGUUUUAGUGAUUUGACAAUAAUAGCUGGUUUUGGAAAAUUCUUCAACUUUUCUUUCAAACACUUCUGUUUUUUUCUCAAAUUGUAUUAUUUCAUUUGUUUUCUCACUUGACCUAUACUGUAAAUAGGGUCGAUGAUAAUACAAAAUGGUGAGGUACAAAUUUGCAUAUGGUGUAAAUAUACCAAGAAUUUUACUAUUUAGCUUUUUUACUUGGAUGAGUUAUUGUACUGAAAAAUAUGAUCUCCCUAUAUGUUAUUAAACAUACCUGUGAGCGUAAAGUUGUUUUUUAUCUGCCAUCAUCCUAUUAUAAACAGUGCUGGUGAAAUUUUCUGUGUUUGCAUAAAUUUAAUAUCUAUAUUUGAAUUGUCCUCAAGAGCUGUUUUUGGAUAUCUGACAGAUGUCAUUGAGAUUUGGUGGAGAGUGAAGGGGGGUGGGGGGAUAAUUAAGAAUGGGGAAAAUGGUGGAAAUAAAAGCAGGAGUCUUUUCUCUGACAUGCAAAAAAUAAGUAAGUACCAGCGCUUAUUAAGUUGAAUCACAAUGUAUCUGCUUUCAAGUAACUUUUAUCAGCUGCUGUACAUUCAAGUGAUCCCUUACAUCACCAACAUAAAAUACAAAACUAGAAAAUAAUGUAGAGCUUGAAUGAUAAAUAAAUAAAUCACCUUUGGUUUGAAUUUGAAGGAGGAUUUCCCCUUGUGUACCCAAUGUGUACAGGUAUCUAUAAAAGAUAAUCUAACAUAGUGUAGGUCAUAUAUAGCAAGAUAAUAAACUUUUUAUUACAGAAUGUAUACACUCACAAACGGAGAGCUGUAGACCCAGCUCUGGUUUGAAUCGCUUCUGGGUCCGUUUAUGCAUUAUGUGUCGGGUUAUGCUAUAUUAUUUGUAGAUUAAUAAAAAUAAAUAAAUAUAUAUAUAUAUAUAUAUAUAUAUAUAUAUAUAUAUAUAUAUAUAUAUAUAUAUAUAUAUUUUACUUUUGAAGCAUUAGCUGAUUGCAGUGAGAUCGAAAUGUUAAAAACUUUCUACUGAUGGAGAUAAAUUCUGAAAUAUAUGUAGAUAUAAACUAUAUCUACAUAGCAAAAGACAAAAAAAACAAAAGACAGCAGAUCUCAAAUUAUCAUGCAUAAUAUACAAACACAUACACAGCACUUUUUUCACAUUUCCGUUUACAUGAUUUCCUUGCAAAGGCCUGCUGUUUCAUGACACAGCUUUUUAUGACAUUUUAUUGAAUAGGAGUAAAAUACCCAAUACCUGUUUAUGGAUAGUGCUAUUUUGUGGGUCACCAUUAAGCUGGAAUGUCCUGAGUUUAGUUAUGUGAUAAUAUUUACACGCAUGUAUUAAUAUUAGCAAUGGGUAAAAAAGAAGAUGAUUUUGUUAGUGCUUUGUUAGCAAAUGUGCUUUUUUCCCACUGGUUUAAACUUUGCUUUUAUUUUUAAUUUUACCAAAUUCCGUCUGUUCAGACAAUGUUUUUCUGAAUCUUUGUAUGCUUAAAAGCAUUACAAAGACAUCGGAGUCUAUUGACAAAACUAAGAGUUGUCAUGGCAAAUAAUAUACAAAUUUGUGCUGGUAAGCGCAAUUUAUAUAAAGUGCAAAUUACAUUAUAUGCAAAAGAUGCUUAGUAUCAGGUUGCCAUGUAAACUAAAAACAUACAUGAAAUACCAUGCAAAAUGAAAAAACUGUACAAAUACUUUUAAAACACUAGCCAAUUCCAUAUAUUCAACUUACUCUUUGUUUAGCCUAAGGAAAAUAUGUCUCAGAAAUUGAUGGGUGUCAGUGCUCUUACAAUCUAGUGGCAGCUUAUACCCUUUUUUGUCAAUUGUAUCUUCCACACUCCUGAUAAUAUAUGAUAUAUUGUGAUGGUGAUAAAGAAUGUCCAUAAUAACUAGCCACCAACCACCAGUUCUCUAUAUAAUGUUUAAUCUAGGAUAUGCUUCAUUAGCCUAUUAGCUCUCUCAGUUGAACCCAUAUCUUAAGACUAGAACCCAGUCACUAUAACUGUAAUAUCAUUAUUUAGUUCCCAGGCCCCUUGUAAUCUAUGUAAAAGGUGAGUUUACUUACCUUUAUUCCAGUGCUGCACAGGUCCACCUGCGAACCACUCCCUUGGCUGAGAUCAUCAAAUUUUACAAUCCCAGCCAAUCAGACUAUUGCACAUGAGCAGCAAAAUACCACCUUGGCCAAUCAGCAUCUUUUCAUGGAGAUGCAUUGAAUCAAUGCAUCUCUAUGGGGAGCGUUCAAAGUCUCCAUGCAGAGUGUGGAGGUACUGAAUGUAAGUGCUGCACAUUGUGUAGCACUGAAUCAGGUUGCACCUCUAGUGGCCAUUUGAGUGACUGCCGCUGGAGGUGUUCCUUGGCAGUAAUUUAAACAUUGCCUUUUCUCAGAAAAAAAACAGUGUUUACACUAAAAUGCCUGCAGGAACAGUCUAUAGACACCAUGACAACUACAUUAAGCUGUAGUUGUUCUGGUGACUAUAGUGUCUCUUUAAGCUCAACUUUAAUUUAAUUCUUAUGUAUCUUUGGGUUCCUGCAACAUGUUUGCCCUUACAAUCGAGACACCUGAGAAUUGUCAGCACAGUUUGUAGUGUGAGUGCAUCAUUACAUUUGCUCAAGCAGAGUAAUCUCAGAGCAUUGAGCACAUGUGAGAACACUUCAGAAGUGCUUUGUGCAUGAGGAGCCCUGAGUGGGGCUGGUUAGACUUGUAGUGUCAUAUAUAAGCUUAACACACAUCCUUUUAAGGUGGUCUUUGCAAUUUCUAUUUGAACCUGGCCAUUUCUAAGGCCAAUCAAUCGCUACCUUCUUGUGGUCUAUCCACAUGCCAUCUUCCAAUGUACAAAUGUAUGAUAUUUUCAUUCUAAGACUGGAAAUUUCAAUACAGAUAUCCCCAAAAGAAAUUUAUGUGACAAACAUAGAACAUAAUAAUGAGGAAGAGGGUAUUUCACCUGACAAUACUGCAGGUGUUUUGUUCAGGAGUUUAAGAGUGCAUGUGAGACUAAAAACCCAGUGAGGUAAAAUGCUUGGUCUAUGAUUACAGUCCUGUGAACUGAAAACAUGUUUGGGUGCUGAUUCAUCAUAUUAAUUUCCUCAUUGUUUAUUUUAUCAUCAUUAAGAAUUCAAGAAGAACAUUUUAAGAGAUUCUCAUGGACUAUCAACGUAGUAUUUUGCAUUCAGUUUGCUGCUCAUUUUUAUUGAAGCGUGUCAUAUUGUGCUCAGUGCUAAUUUUUCUUUUAAUUAUUUUUGUUGAGUGGAAAGAUGAAAGUAGAUAAUUAUUUAUUUCAUUUGGAAUUAGCAAAAAUACUUGUUUGGGUACUAAUGCUUACCCUUGAAAUGUAGGAGUUGUUCAAUCUUACAUUCAUUAUUGUUAUUAUUGUUAUUAUGAUGUUACCAUAGUUGUGGUUGGGUAAUAUUGUUUUAAAAAACAUAUGAAGCAACCUAGUAAUAUAUAAAUUGGUAUUACUUUCACUAACAAUUUAGGGCACACUAAGAAUUAUAAAGAAAAUAAACAUUUACCCGGAAGGAUAACUUGAGAUUUAUCUAGUAUUCUCUGAUGUGUAUCUAGUAGUCUUUGGGGUAUACAUUUUAUUAAAACUUAAAGGGAGGGCUGGCUCUGAGUGUAAUGUUGACCAGGUGAGAUCCAAUUGUGAUCCAAUUGUGUGGUGUCAAUAAUGUGCAGCAAUGAUACUCACCUGAUCGAUGAUGCCGAUUCAGUGUUCCUCGCAGGUCGUGCACGUCGAAUACUUCCGUAUAACAAGCUGGACGCUAUCCGCUCUAAGGGCGCAUCUUUAAAUGCCGAAUGUUCGUGGAACGUCACUUCUGAUUCAGAAUUGUAUGCGUUUUCCCAGUUUACCUCAUUUUCGCACUUUAUGGGGUCACAGGUAACGUGAACCAAUCAGGUCUAGGUAACUUUAUUUAGACCUGUUUUGACCUUGGUUCAUUGUUUUGUCUGUAUAUUCUUGUUUUGACCUCGGCUAGUAUAUAGGAAUUUUGAGUACUUCUGUUAUCCUGAACCAGCUUGUUAUAUGUUAUCUGACUAUCUGUAUUCCUGACUGUGGCUAGUUAUUUGACUUUGCCUCUUUCUUUGUUUAUUACAAUAUGUCUGGCCACUCUAAGGCCUGGUAAUUCAUCUAUCUCUGUUUAUCCUGUUGGGCCUCCCAUUUCCUGCAUGUUUCGAUAUAUUUCUCAUGACAUAUUCACUAUCAAAGCCAGUCUUGACUAUUGUCACAGUGAGUCUAAUGGACCUAGGCUGAACUUAGAUAGGGAUGCAUUUUGCAACCUGUUUCCCUACACAUACUUUCUUUUAAGCCCUACCCUUCAUACCUGGUUCCCCUGCUCUUCUUCAACAGUACAACCAGUCUCUGGGUUACUACAGCUUUUUGACUAACACCUUGUAGUUCUGCUAGGAAGGCAACAAGCAUGUUUCUGCGUCUUGCUCAUUGCAUAAUUGGCUGUAAAUAUAUAAGUAUAUUUUACUUUUGCCCUUGUACAUGUCCUCUUCUACCUUUAAGAUUUUUUUUCAUUUGCCUCUCCCUGGUAUGUAGGUGCACCCUCUGUUUUAUGGUGCACUGAGGUAGUUAUAUACCUUUAAAAGAAGUGGAAUUAUUCCCCACCCAUAGGUAUGUGUAGACUAAUAUAACUUACCUUUGCAUUAACUAUAAUGUAUAUUUUUAUUUUGCUCUUCGUCCCUGGUUUUCAUGGAUUUUUUUUCACCUGUCUCUCUCUGGUAUGUGGGUGCACUCUUUGCGUGUGGUGCACUGAGGUAGUCAUAGGGACUUUUUUCAGGUGUCUUUUUCUCUGUAUACCCUCUUAUGAGUAGUGGGGGUAUUCCCUCCCCCCCCCCCCAUAGGUGUCUGUAGGUGAAUAUAGCUCACCUUUGUACUAGCUGUAAACAUAUACCUUUGUUUUUUGUUCCCCAUAGCUUUUCCCCUUCUUUAGCUUAUUGAGUGGCUAGGAGGGUGAACCAUGUAGGACUUUAGUCUUGUUAUCUAAUAAUUUUGUUUCUAAGACUUCUGCUGUAGGGUUUUGCCUUCUGUCAUUCAGCCUACGGUCACCUCCAUUUCCCACUCACAUCUGUCAGUCAACACUUUAUUCAGCUUUUUUGAGCGUAUAUGCAGAUAUUCCCAUAUGUCUAUUUGUUUUGUAUACCUUUGAUAAAGUUAUUUUCAAUCUUUUUUAAUUUCAUUUUUAUUCUGCACCCUGAUUAGCUAAAUACAUUUAUUUACCUAAAGCUUUAUUUAUACUAUUAGAUUUGUCACGUACGUGGGUUCAAUCCCAAUCCUUUAGGGUUGCAGAUUUAGUGACUACCGUCCGUACAUUUUUCAUUUGCUCAACUAAGUAAGCAUAAUAUUAAAAAUCCAGGAAAGUGAUAGUUCCCCUUUAAUCUUAUAUUUUUAAAAGACCCUUGGAAAAUGAGAAUUCUCAUUAUUUUGUAUAGCAUUUAAAUCCUAACAUAUCUCAGGCCAACUUGACCAUUUGUGAAAAGUUUCAUUUAGUAUAAGCAUACUGAUACGUACAAUCUGAAUGUUUCUCAAGCUGUGGUGGCAAGCCUUUGAUAACUCAACUAUUCUAGACUACGUUUCUAAUUAUGCAUCAUGGAAAAUUUAGUUUUAACCUUCAGUGAUAAAGUUAGCCACCAUUGUUCUACAAUGUUUACAAUUUUUUGAGGGCACCAUACAUAUUAUGUCAUUAUUGGGAAUGCAAGUAUUAGCCUCUAGUUUCCAAAGAAAGUGGCACAUAAAUCCAGGAUUAAACCUGGGGUGAGUCCUUUAAACUAUGCUUUGAGUUUAUUUUGCAGUUAUACAUUUUGUUUUCCAUUUAUUUAAUUUUCCUUUAUAUUUUUAUGCUAUAAAUCUAUAAAUAUUUAAUACAAUUCCAGGAGGGCCAUCUCUGCUCUCACAAUAAGAAUACAUUUGCAGACUAUUUUUCUUGCUAGGAAUAGGAAAUGAAAGCAAAUCUCUACAUGUUAGCCAUUAUAUUUUAAAGCCAAUUAACACAAUAGAAUGCAUUUUUACAUGCUAUUUUUCUUGGAGUUGGUUUUACAUACAUUUGGGUAUAGCUUGUGUUAUGCCGAAUAGUUGGUUUUUGAUGUCCGGAAAGAAUGGGGUAGUAAAUAAUAGAACUCUCUUGCCAUGAUUGCCACAGGAAUCCAGUACUAGAACUGCUUUGGUUCUUAUUUCACUCAGUUUCUUUGGUCUCACUGCGUACAAAAGAAUGAUCUUUUAUAGCAUGUUAUAUAUGGCUUACAAAACACAAUUUUGAAUAUGUUUGCUAUUAAUUUAUAAAAAUCUGAAUAAUGUUUUUAUUCUUAUGGAUAAUAAAGAAUGGAUUUUCUUUAGCACUAAAUCUAAAUAUAAUUAGUCAUAAACUUAUGUGUAUAGCUGUUGUGUUCUUUUAUAUCUGUCUGGUCAUUCUCCCAGUUCUCCUAGCAUAUGAAGGUAUCACAAAGCUGUAUUCCUGGCACUGUAGCUCCCUUUGCCUCCCCCUCCCUCGCGUCCCUCUCCCCAGUAAAAAAAAAGGUUUAAAAACCCUUUAUUUACUCACCUCCGCCCCCUUUGACGGCUUGCAAUGAGCAGGCGAUAAUGGACAUGUGCGGCAAAUGCCGCUUGCGCAUUAGACAGCCCCAAAGGAAAGCAUUGAAUCAGUGCUUUCCUAUGGGGAAAAAGCUGAUGCUGGAGGUCCUCAUGCAGAGCGUAAGGACGUCCAGUAUCAGAUAUUGGACAAAGAUCCGUUUCGAUACAGCCACUGUUGCCAGACAUAGUGUUGCAACGUUUUGCAGCACUAGGUGCAAAAGGGACAUUGCACUCAGACCACUUCAGUUAGCUGAAGUGGUCUUAGUGCCUUUAAAUGUGUUUAAAGUAACACUCUAGUGUUGUAAAUGAAUACAUUUAUUUAUAGUGCUGGAGUGUUGGUGAGACUACUGUGCCCCCUUUCUACCUCACUACAUAUAUAAUAAAGAGGUCACUUACCUCUAAUCCAGCAGGGAGAGAGUCCCUUGCGGCAGCUCUGCUCCUCGCAUUGGAAGUUAAGCAGUACUGGUGAACUCUUCGGCAUCUAAAUGCUUCUCAUAGAGGAGUAUUGGUAGGUGCAUGCAUGGUGAUUGAAUACAGUAUUUAUCUAUGAGCAUCAUUGCCUUCUAUUAUAAUUAUUGAUAUUUAUAUAGCGCCAACUUAUUCCACAGUGCUUUAAAAUAUUAUUAAGAUGAAAAGAGAUGCAACUGAAUACUCAUUUUGGAACAGCAGGAGAGAGAUCAGGGAAGGAGAAGUAUAUCUGGAUGUCAUUGGCAUGCAGCUAGUAGUGGAAUCCACAAGAAGUAGUAGAAUUUUGCCAAAAGUGGCAGUAUAGAGAGAACAUAGAAAGGCAAUGAGCACAGAACCUGGAGGGACUCCAACUGAGAUAGUAUGAGGGGAGGAGAUGUUACCAGAAAAGAAGACAUUAAAGGAUCGCUGGGAGAGAGAGAGUCAAGAAAGGACAAUCUCAUGAAGGCCAAGGGAGAAGGAGAAAAGUAAUCAACAGUGUCAAAAGCAGCAGAGAGGUCUAAAAGAAGUAGAACAGAGUAGUGGCCUCUGGAUAUUUGUAAUUAUAUUAUUACUUACUUUAGUCAGAGAUGUCUCACUAGAAUAGAGGGGGCAGAAACCAGACUGAAGAGGGUCGAGAAAGAGAGUUAGAGUUGAGAAAGUAUGGUUAAAUGACAAGUUAUUUCACAAGCUUUGCGGAGAAAAGGAGCAGAGAUAUGGGAUGGUAGUUAGAUGGCUCAAGAAAUGGCAGAACUUACUGGCAUUUCAGAUCUGGACUGCCCGUACGGGUGGGACCAGUCUGAUAUGCUUCAGAUAGGUUCUCUUUGUAAUGGCACUAGAUGAGCUAAAACCAGCUUGAGAUCUGAGUGGGGACCCACCGAAGGGCAGGCUAAUUGAGCUGUUGUCCGUUCUCACCUCUUGCUUUUCUCUCCCUAUGUGUUAAGGAAGGCACAAGGAGAGAGAGAGAUCUGUUUAAGUGAGUCACUUUGUGCUUAUUCACAGUUGGGAUGAUGCAGCAUAGGAACUUUAUAAUAGUGGUGAUUUCUUUUGCAAUGAUCACUUUUAUUAAGUCUGAAAAAGGGGACAUUCUGUUAACCCUUAAAGCUCUUUAGCUUGGAGUGUUCUUUUAAUACUAUAUAUAGAAAAUAAACAUAUAACAUUAUUGUAAGCUAUUUCUCAUAGAUUGUAAGCUCAUUUGAGCAGGGCCUUCUUCACCUCUUAUCUUUGUUAUAUUCUGUAUGUCAAUUACUUGUUGUCCGAUAUCUCCAUUCUAUAAUUAAAGUUGAAGUUCUGCAUAAUAUGUUGGCGCUAUGCAAUUGCUAAUACGAAUCAUAAUAAUAAUUCACUAAAUACCCAGAAACAAUAAUUGGCAACUGGCACACAUUCAGAUAUUCGUGAGCAAUGCAUUUUAAUAGUUAUCCAAGUGUUACAUAUGGGUUAAUAAGCAGAAUACUGAAUGGUCAAAAAUCAGAAAUGCUUAUGAGUACAGAGCAAAACAUAUUGAUUACACAGUGCAGAGAUAACUGGUACUAAGUGAAGGAAUCUUUUAAUGCACUCUAAUAAUGUGGAAAUAGUGAAUAACACAAAGGUUCACAUUCUCAUUUACAUUUUUUGUAUCAUUCAUUCCAAAUGCAGUUUAGCAUUUUUAUUCUUCAUGUUUUGCAGAUGUAAUUUAAUCAUCAUACAAGACGCACCAGGCACAGAUGUCUUAUAACACCAGGAGGAAGAUGUGUGAUCGUCUGAGCUAAAUGUGUUGUCCAAUAGAAAACAUAUUAACGAUGACCAGUAAGUUGUAAGGCAAAACAUAUUUCAAAUGUAUCACUGUGUGUAUUUAACAUUUUACUUUUCACUCUUGACUUAUUUAAAAGUUUAUUUUUUUAAUCCACAAUCUAUUAAUGAUAGUGUAGGUCUACUUAACCAUUCUAAAAAUGUUUGUACUGACACAUGAUGGUGGUUAAGGGGAAUGCAGUAUGAGAAGCUCUAUAAUCAUUAGUAGUCUAACAAACCUCCAUGUCACCAUUUUUGUAAAGAGUAAGCAGUGUAUGAUAUAUCUAUAUAGAUGAUAUUGGGUGAUUGUCUAAGAAGAGGGUUCCAUGGCAGGGGUAAAAAUGACUAAAAUUUGUAUUUGCUUGAGAACUUAUUUCUCAUUUGUACUAUAAUAGAUACUGCAACAAAUUAAUUCAACCACUCUCAAUGUAAAAGUGGCAUUACAUUACUUAGGCAGUGUUGUUGCUACAGUAAACAGUUUAUUGUGGCAAUUGGCUAAUAACCUAAUAACCAGGGUUAGCCUUCGGCAUAGCCACCAAAAGUUGGCACCACCUUGCCCAAUCACAGAGAGUUGAUGUACUAGCACCUCCCCCCCUAUUUAGGUUGACAGAGCACUGGGCUCAUUUUGAGAGAGGUCGAUGGAGGGGGACUCAUAUAAAUGCUGUGUUAUGGCCCUCUCAACUUGUCGUGACAAGAAGGGCAGCGAUGGCCACCAGCAUGCAUCAUUGCAACAGUAUAAGUUGUGGAAUGACAUCCCUCAAGGCCCUCAAAAAGCUGAAUGGAGGGUGAGGUGAACAGAAGCAACCACACAGAUGGGGGUUGAAUAAGCCACGCUAGGUGGGAAAAUUAAAUGAGCCACACAAAGGGGGGAUUUAAAGACCCACACAAGGGGUAGGUUGAAAUGAGUCUCUUAUUUGGGACUUGGAAACUCAAGGUGGGGGUGGAGGGUGGAAGGAACCACAUAAAGGUCCUAGAGAAUAGAAAUAAACAUACACAGUUGGAUGGGGAGAUAGAAAGAGAGAGGGAGCAAACUGACAGAAGCACAUAAGAAGGAAGAGAAAUACAGGCAAAAAAGAAAGGGGAUGAUGGAAAGGGACACAUGAAGAGGGUGGAGAGAGUACACCAAGGAUAAGAUGGAGACAGAGAAGAAAAACAUGGGAUUGAUAAUGUGAAAUCAUGAUGGGUGAGCAUCAUUCCUAAAUUUCCCACACGGUGCUUAAAAUCUGAAGGCAAGACCAGUUGAAGAAUAUAAUAGCUCUUUUCCAACUAAUAGGACCAACAGAAAAUAGUAUGUGCUCCCAGUUUUGGGUCCCAAGUCUUUGGUCGAAAACCGCUACUUUAAAAUUGAAUUAUUAGAAUAUGUAAAUAAUUGGUUGGUAGUAUAUGCGGAGGAGGUUGAGUUAUAUAUAGAUGGCACCCAGUAAGAUAUAGGGACUAAUUCCAAACUUAAAAAAACGAUUUAACCUAUACUUCCAUUUAGUGCAUGGUGAACCCAUUUGGUUGUUUGUGAUAGUGUAAGUAUCAAGUCUUAAAGCAUUGACAUGCUCAAUAAUUACAAGUUUUAUAAUAGUGUCAGAAUAAUUUGGAGGUUCUUUGUAAAUAGUUUUAGAAUCCCCCCUAGCUAAAAUGUUCACCACUAACAGGACUAUUCUCCAAAUUGCUGGGGAUUCAAAGUGAAUUUGAUAUUCGAGGCUAAAAAAAAAAAGCUAAACUGGAAGCAUACCUGACUUAAAAAAUUCUUCCCUAUUUAACUAUUUUGGCUUUAAAUUUAAAAGUCACUUUGAAUUCACAACAAUUCUCACUUUAGUGAUAAAUCUUUUCCCACAGCAUUUGUGCCCAUCAACUGGUUAUUUUUUGUUGCUUAUUGUAUAACUUUUUGCAUUUCAUGUGAUUGUAGUUAAUUGUUUCAAUGAUGAC
rnacentral:lncRNA from 1 species